GGCGGACGGGUGAGUAAUGUCUGGGAAACUGCCUGAUGGAGGGGGAUAACUACUGGAAACGGUAGCUAAUACCGCAUAAUGUCGCAAGACCAAAGUGGGGGACCUUCGGGCCUCAUGCCAUCAGAUGUGCCCAGAUGGGAUUAGCUAGUAGGUGGGGUAACGGCUCACCUAGGCGACGAUCCCUAGCUGGUCUGAGAGGAUGACCAGCCACACUGGAACUGAGACACGGUCCAGACUCCUACGGGAGGCAGCAGUGGGGAAUAUUGCACAAUGGGCGCAAGCCUGAUGCAGCCAUGCCGCGUGUGUGAAGAAGGCCUUCGGGUUGUAAAGCACUUUCAGCGGGGAGGAAGGCGGUGAGGUUAAUAACCUCAUCGAUUGACGUUACCCGCAGAAGAAGCACCGGCUAACUCCGUGCCAGCAGCCGCGGUAAUACGGAGGGUGCAAGCGUUAAUCGGAAUUACUGGGCGUAAAGCGCACGCAGGCGGUCUGUCAAGUCGGAUGUGAAAUCCCCGGGCUUAACCUGGGAACUGCAUUCGAAACUGGCAGGCUAGAGUCUUGUAGAGGGGGGUAGAAUUCCAGGUGUAGCGGUGAAAUGCGUAGAGAUCUGGAGGAAUACCGGUGGCGAAGGCGGCCCCCUGGACAAAGACUGACGCUCAGGUGCGAAAGCGUGGGGAGCAAACAGGAUUAGAUACCCUGGUAGUCCACGCCGUAAACGAUGUCGAUUUGGAGGUUGUGCCCUUGAGGCGUGGCUUCCGGAGCUAACGCGUUAAAUCGACCGCCUGGGGAGUACGGCCGCAAGGUUAAAACUCAAAUGAAUUGACGGGGGCCCGCACAAGCGGUGGAGCAUGUGGUUUAAUUCGAUGCAACGCGAAGAACCUUACCUGGUCUUGACAUCCACAGAACUUUCCAGAGAUGGAUUGGUGCCUUCGGGAACUGUGAGACAGGUGCUGCAUGGCUGUCGUCAGCUCGUGUUGUGAAAUGUUGGGUUAAGUCCCGCAACGAGCGCAACCCUUAUCCUUUGUUGCCAGCGGUCCGGCCGGGAACUCAAAGGAGACUGCCAGUGAUAAACUGGAGGAAGGUGGGGAUGACGUCAAGUCAUCAUGGCCCUUACGACCAGGGCUACACACGUGCUACAAUGGCAUAUACAAAGAGAAGCGACCUCGCGAGAGCAAGCGGACCUCAUAAAGUAUGUCGUAGUCCGGAUUGGAGUCUGCAACUCGACUCCAUGAAGUCGGAAUCGCUAGUAAUCGUAGAUCAGAAUGCUACGGUGAAUACGUUCCCGGGCCUUGUACACACCGCCCGUCACACCAUGGGAGUGGGUUGCAAAAGAAGUAGGUAGCUUAACCUUCGGGAGGGCGCUUACCACUUUGUGAUUCAUGACUGGGGUGAAGUCGUAACAAGG
rnacentral:rRNA from 1 species